AGAGAGAGAGAGAGAGAGAGAGGGACGGAGAAGGUCAUACAUCUAUAGCAACAAUAAGAAUUGAUAAGACUAAAGAUACUACCCUCCCAAAUCCCAAUGUAAUCUCGUGAUAUAAAGCUAUGAAUAAUGCAUGUGUUAUCACGUGCUAGCUCAGGCCACCUAACUCAACUGACCGUCAUUACAAAAACCAAUCUAAACCACACUAUAUAAGAUAAAGGAAGCUCUGACCACUGACCAUGAUAUUGAUAUGGUUCUUUAUAAUAACUCCAUUGUCUUUCAUGACAGUACUGCUCAUAUUUGGAUUAGUUUUGGCUCUUAGGAAAAGAAACUUGAGACAGAAAAGGCGUCCAAUACAGGCAUCAAACAAUGAUUCUUCAAAGGCAUGCAUUGUUGCCUCAUUCAGUUAAAUAUAGAACAAUUAAUGAACAAAAUAAUAACAGGAAAUCACAGGUUGUUCGACAUUCCAAUCAUACUUGUAAAUAUUCAAAUUAAUUAUGUUCUUGUGCUGAUCAA